CUCGACUUCAUUCACUAAAUACUAAAAUUGGAAUGAUACAGAGAAGAUUAGUUUGGCUCCAUGCGCACGAAUGAUGUGAAAAUUCAUGGAGCAUUCCAUAUUUUA